rnacentral:sRNA from 1 species
AGAACUGUUACCUAAAAGCAUUGGACCAAAGAAGUUUUAGAGCUAAGUUUGGAGCCACGAGAAGGAAUUCUAAGGCAGAGGAACGUCGGGGAACCGUUUGAAAGCAAGCUUAGGAGAAAACCAAGUCGGUGAUAUGCCGGUGGAGCAAGCCUUAGAUGGAGGAUCGACUGAAGAAUAGUUUUAAUAAUGAAACCUAUGUUUUUAUUUCUGUUUUAAGGUGUGGAGUGUAAUUAGUUUGAAUUUACAGUGAGGGUUUGUAUAAUAAUGAGGAAAACUCUUAUUCCUCCUUCUAUCAACUGUUCUAUUAUAUCAAUGAUGUAAGAACUCUAUUAUAGUUUGAUGCUAUAAUUAUGGGGAUGUUACACACAACACCAAUAAGAACUAAGCCCAAUUAUAUAAGGGAUUGAUAUCACUCUCAACGAAAAAACCUUAAAGUAAUGGGUUAAUGGGUCUUCCACCUUUAUAUGGUGCUCUAAUUUCU